GUAUUCCUCUUUUCAUUUAUAAUUGAAAUAAUUUUAUAAAGAGAAACUUUCUCAUAUGAGUUAUUUGUUACCCUAUGCUAUAGUUAUACAAGAGAGGCAGGACAAAUGCCUCUUCUUUUUAUUACCAUUUUUCAAUAUAAUACAUUGGUUCCUUAGCAUUUAAUAAGGGAUCUUUUCAAAGUAUUUUCUUAGUCAUUUCAUUAAAUAUUUUUACGUGAUUCAGUGUAUUGCAAUUAUUAUUAAUGUAAAAUUGUCCAUUUUUGACCCAUAGGAACUUAAGACAUUUGGUUCCUGAAUUUUCUGUUUUUAUUUAUUUAUUUUUUUUGCUUUUGAGGCCUGCUCCCAUAACUUAUGGAAAUUCCAAGGCUAGGGGUUGAAUCAGAGCUGUUGCUGCCGGCCUACACCACAGCCACAGCAAUGCAGGAUCCGAGCUGCAUCUAGGAUCUACAUCACAACUCAGGAUCGUGCGUUGAUGUAGCUGUGGCAUAGGCCGGCAAUAACAGCUCUGAUUGAACCCCUAGCCUGGGAACUUCCAUAUGCCAUGGGUGCGGCCCAAAAAAAGCAAAAAGAAAAAAAAGAAAAAAAGGAGAUAACACAAUAGCUAUAUCAUAGGGUCGUUUUGAAGGAUAAGGGAGUUAAUAUUACAUACAUAAGAUGCUCAAAACAAUUCCUGGCAAAAGAGCAAACACUAAAUAAACUAUUUAGUUAUUAUCAUGAUUAUUAUUCCCUGCAAGCCCUAUUCAGAAAAUGCACUGACAUCACCUGCAGAUGAGCAUAAGAGCAUCUAUCCCAUAGGGAGGUUCUGAGGCUAUGAGAAGAUGGUACCUCUCCAGGGUUUAGCGUUGUACCAAGUAAAUGCUCAAUAAAUGCUACCUCUUAUAGUUUGAUACAGCACUCAGAUGAAGCUCUUUUAGUGACAUUUGUGCCAAAAUAUUUUGUCAGUGAAGAGAAAAAAGUAGGGUUUUUUGUGGGGGAGAAGACAAGUCAUUAUUCAUCCAUCCCUAUAAUGUCCUUAUAGGGCCUCAUGAUAUAUAAUUAAUGUGUCAAAUGAUGAGUGCUAUUUGACAUGCAAUAGAUACAAACCAAGUAUUUGGGGGCACAACAAGAGGGAAGGAGCAGAGAGGGC
rnacentral:lncRNA from 1 species